GCGACUCAAGGGCAAACUCACCGAAAGGUGGGGACGCAAAGCCUCCGGUCUACGGGCGUCGUGCCUACGACAGCGGGGUUGCCGGU
rnacentral:ncRNA from 1 species